rnacentral:tRNA from 1 species
GCCUGGGUGGCUCAGUCGCUUGAGCAUCCGACUUUGGCUCAGGUCAUAAUCUCAGUUUGUGGGUUCGAGCCCCACAUCGGGCU